GCGCUUUGGAGUUGGCUUGCCCUAAUCGUUUUCCGUGCUCUCCCCCGCACCCUCACCGGGAGCGCCGUGUGCGCUUCCAUUGCCUGCAGCGGCCGACGAGUCUUCCGAUCCGGCGGUGGAUCCGCCCAGCCCGACAUCAAGCGCGAACCAGUUAUAUUAGUCUGGCGUCGAAUGGAAAAGUGAUAAGGAGGCUUGAAUGUUGGCUGCAUUCACAUGGGCUGGCUGAUGAGGGCAUUCGUUGGCUAAAGUUUGGUGAUGAACUUUUCAGACAAAUGGUGUAUCGGAGUCUACAGUGCAUACAAGAUGCUCCUUCAGUUCAUGGAUACAUUUGCAUCCUUCAUUACCUUGUUUGGAACUGACAAAAAUUUAAAUCGCAUCACAGUCAACAAUGAAGGAGAUUUUUGCGAGUGUUAUUCUUUGUAAUGUCACACGAUCUGGUGGUUUGAUGAAAUAUAUAUUGUAAAUCUGGUGCUACAUAAUCCUUCUUUUAUGAUGUUAUUUCGUAUCUUUUGUAGAAAUAUGUAUUAUACUAUGUGCCAGGCUUAAUCUAUAUUCUAUAUAUAGCCCCGCAUCUUUCUA